GGUUCUGUAGUGUAGUGGUUAUCAUCAGUACUUUACAAGCAGUGGCAGAAGGUCCUGGGUUCAACCCCCAGUGAUACCA